rnacentral:rRNA from 1 species
UACAGAGGGUGCGAGCGUUGUUCGGAAUUAUUGGGCGUAAAGCGCUUGUAGGCGGCCUGUUAAGUCCCGUGUGAAAUCCCCUGGCUUAACCAGGGAAGUGCGCGGGAAACUGGCGGGCUUGAGUGCCGGAGAGGGUCGCGGAAUUCCCGGUGUAGAGGUGAAAUUCGUAGAUAUCGGGAGGAACACCAGUGGCGAAGGCGGCGACCUGGACGGACACUGACGCUGAGACGCGAAAGCGUGGGGAGCAAACAGG